rnacentral:rRNA from 1 species
AGAGUUUGAUCCUGGCUCAGGACGAACGCUGGCGGCGUGCUUAACACAUGCAAGUCGAGCGGUAAGGCCCCUUCGGGGGUACACGAGCGGCGAACGGGUGAGUAACACGUGAGCAACCUGCCCCUGACUCUGGGAUAAGCCGUGGAAACGCGGUCUAAUACCGGAUACGACGCCUCACCGCAUGGUGGGGUGUGGAAAGUUGUGUCGGUUGGGGAUGGGCUCGCGGCCUAUCAGCUUGUUGGUGGGGUGAUGGCCUACCAAGGCGAUUACGGGUAGCCGGCCUGAGAGGGCGACCGGCCACACUGGGACUGAGACACGGCCCAGACUCCUGCGGGAGGCAGCAGUGGGGAAUAUUGCGCAAUGGGCGGAAGCCUGACGCAGCGACGCCGCGUGGGGGAUGACGGCCUUCGGGUUGUAAACCUCUUUUACCACUCACGCAGGCCCCGGGUGUUCUCGGGGUUGACGGUAGGUGGGGAAUAAGGACCGGCUAACUACGUGCCAGCAGCCGCGGUAAUACGUAGGGUCCGAGCGUUGUCCGGAAUUAUUGGGCGUAAAGAGCUCGCAGGCGGUGUGUCGCGUCUGCUGUGAAAGGCUGGGGCUUAACCCUGGUUUUGCAGUGGAUACGGGCAUGCUAGAAGUAGGUAGGGGAGACUGGAAUCUUGUGUAGCGGGGAAUGCGCAAAAAUACAAGAACACCGUGGGGAAGGGGGCUCUGGGCUACUGACCUGAGAACGAACGUGGGAGGACAGAUAAUACCUGUAUCACCCUAACUGGCCUAG